AUACGGAGGACGCGAGCGUUAUCCGGAUUCAUUGGGUUUAAAGGGUGCGCAGGCGGCCGUGCAAGUCAGCGGUGAAAGCCCGGGGCUCAACCCCGGAAGUGCCGUUGAUACUGCAUGGCUGGAAUGCGGUCGAGGCGGGCGGAACGUGGCGGGUAGCGGUGGAAUGCGUAGAUAUGCCACAGAACCCCGAUAGCGGAGGCGGCUCGCCAGGCCUGCAUUGACGCUCGGGCACGAAAGCGUGGGGAUCGAACAGGAUUAGAUACCCUGGUAGUCCACGCCGUAAACGAUGGGCGCUCGUCGUCGGCGGCAGACAGUCGGCGGCCAAGCGAAAGCGAUAAGCGCCCCACCUGGGGAGUACGGUCGCAAGGCUGAAACUUAAAGGAAUUGACGGGG
rnacentral:rRNA from 1 species